UACGAAGGGUGCAAGCGUUACUCGGAAUUACUGGGCGUAAAGCGUGCGUAGGUGGUUUGUUAAGUCUGUUGUGAAAGCCCCGGGCUCAACCUGGGAAUGGCAAUGGAUACUGGCAAGCUAGAGUGCGGUAGAGGGUAGUGGAAGUUCCCGGUGUAGCGGUGAAAUGCGUAGAGAUCGGGAGGAACACCAGUGGCGAAGGCGGCUACCUGGACCAGCACUGACACUGAGGCACGAAAGCGUGGGGAGCAAACAGG
rnacentral:rRNA from 1 species